AUACGUAGGGCGCGAGCGUUGUCCGGAAUUACUGGGCGUAAAGAGCUCGUAGGUGGUUUGUCGCGUCGUCUGUGAAAUUCCGGGGCUUAACUCCGGGCGUGCAGGCGAUACGGGCAUAACUUGAGUACUGUAGGGGAGACUGGAAUUCCUGGGGUAGCGGUGAAAUGCGCAGAUAUCAGGAGGAACACCGGCGGCGAAGGCGGGUCUCUGGGCAGUAACUGACGCUGAGGAGCGAAAGCAUGGGUAGCGAACAGGAUUAGAUACCCUGGUAGUCCGUGCCGUAAACGGUGGGCGCUAGGUGUAGGGGUCUUCCACGACUUCUGUGCCGUAGCUAACGCAUUAAGCGCCCCGCCUGGGGGGUACGGCCGCAAGGCUAAAACUCAAAUGAAUUGACGGGG
rnacentral:rRNA from 1 species